rnacentral:lncRNA from 1 species
UUUUUUUUUUUUCGUUAUAAGGGAUCUUUACAUGGGGAAAUGAAGAGGACAAACAGAGGAGGGAAAAAGCAACGGCGUUGAUGGAAGGGAAGGUCUGGUCGGAAGUUGAUGGAGAAGGUGUGCCAUUAUGGCUAUGUUUCUUGUUCACCUGAUCUCCUAUUAGGUCCCUAGGGUGUCUUUAAGAAAAGGACAUUUGCCAGAUCUGGUUAUUUAAAAA